UCUCAAAAAUAAAUAAAUAAAUAAGCCAGUCUCAGGAAGUUCUUCAUAGCAGUGAAAGAAAAGACUAAUACAUUCGUCCUCCAGCACCUUUCUCUAUUCAUGUGGCCUCUCGCCCUAGUAGGGUACUUGGCUCUUUCAAAUGGUAGCUGUGUUCCAAGCAGGUAAAAAUUGAAACUCCAAAACUUCUUAAGGCCUACAUCCAUGAUUAAUACAAAAUUACUUCAACUGCAUUCAAUCUGUCAAAGCAAGUCAAAGAACCAAGCAAAAUUUAGGGAGAGGAAAAGGGAAAGAAGUUCCUCUUGCAGCAGAGAAGAGGCACACAUGCAUUGGGAUGGGAGUAAUCACUGACAACCAACUUUGCAGACAACCUACCACACAAAUGUUUACUUUUGCUUUGCUUCAGUAAGGCAUAUCAAAAGUAUUUUCCAGCAAAAGUAUUGUAUGAAAACCAUUAUCAUUUUCCUUUUUUCUAUAUAUAGCCACAUGGUAGUUUGAUUGCAAAAGUGUAUCACACUCUGUGUUUCUCAAAAUUAUAAAUACAUGAAUCUUUAAAGAAUACUCAAUCUGGUGGAAAAGAUUUUGUUUUCAUUUUCACAGGCUAAAUAAAUUAUGAUUUGUAGUGGGUUGAAUAACUACCUCUAAAAUCUCAUGUCCAAGCCCUAACCCCUGGUACUCUAUAAAUGUGACCUUAUUUGGAAAAAGAGCCUUUGCAAAUAUAAGAAAGUAAAAGAUUAAAUCAUUGUGGAAUAACUAGGUGGGCCCUAAGGCCAGUGACAAUAGCCUUUAUAAGAAGAGGAGAAGACUUAAACACACAGAGGGAAGAAGGCCAAGUGAAGACAGAGGCAAAGACUGGAGUUAUGCUGUCACAAGCCAAGGAACGUCUGGACCUACCAAGAGCUAGCAGAGGCAAGGAUCUCCCCCAAGGCCUUGAGAAGUAGUAUGGCCCUGCUGACACACAGACUUCAAUCUUCUGGCAUUCAUAAUUGUGACGGAAUAAAUUUCCGUUGUUUUAAGCCACCCAGUUUGUGAUAAUUUGUUAUGGAAUCCCAGGAAACUAAUACAUAGUUUUUUAACCAAAAUCUUAUUGAAAAUAUUUUAUAAUCUACUAUUUUUUAAAAUUUUUAUUCCUAGUUCAUCUGACUUCAGAGGCUCUUCAUAUUGCAGAAGGAAAUAAGAGGGGUGAAAGACUUUGCUUUUAUUUCAAAUUUACUGAGACUCUUAACAAGAACAUGUGAAUCUUAGUUCCUGAAUUUUUAAAAUUUCCCUCAUCACUCUUGCAUCUACAGAUAUAGGACUCAAAUAAUCUCAUCACUUAUGUUCCAAAUAGCAUCUCUGUAGUCUCAUACACUUCUGGCAAGAAACUAACACAAAAGUAAAAUAUUUAAUUGGUCCCAUGGCUUAAAUAAGCCUUCCUUAAAGAGUGACACCUAUACCAGCAACAUCAGUAUCAUUUCAGAACUUGUUAGAAAUGCAAUUCCUGGAUACCACUCCUGACCUAUAGAAUCAGAAACACAACAAUCUGUGUUUGAACAAGCUCUCCUAGCAAUUCUGAUGCCACUAACAUAUAAGAAUUGCUGGGAACUCUGCCACUUAUUCAAUGUAACUAUUCAAAUUAAGCAUUCUAGAAUUGUGGAAAUUACCACAGGAUGGAGGCAGGGUUCCACUUAGCCCACUGUGGAGUGGAUCUGAGCUAAACUCCACUGAUCACCUGACUUCUACAAGCCCCUACUCUGACUGGUGGACCACGGUGACUUUUGGUUCUCUUAGAAUUAAUGUCAAUUCAAAGCCAGUGUUCAAUAAUCUUCAAAAGGUCUGAUUAUUUCUUUUUCUCUGAUGCACAGUGCACCUGGGGAAUGAUGCCAUUUCAAGGACUCAGUGCUGGUUGCUACUGCUGGCAGAUUGGGCAUCCAUCAGUGGCUAUGGUCACACUGACCUUGAACUCCAAUUUCAUAUAUAGUAGACCUUCAUGUAAAUAUCUUUUAAAAGAUGUGCUUCCAGAAAAAAGAAAUGCAACCUAAAGGAAGAACGAAGAAGCAAGAAACAGUGGAUUCUCCUUCCUAGGAGAACUUCAGAUCUCCCAGGGAUGCUUACAUUUCUUCUUGAAGGAGAAGCAGAACACCUGCUCUGUCAGUGAUGCAAGCCACUCUUCUUUAUAAUUGCUGCCACAUGGUGUCGCUGUUGAAACACAGGGAACAUAAGCCACCCAGGGAAAUAUUUCUGUGUCUGUAACUGGAGAUUAGAGAUGAAGAAUAUACAUGAAAAAAACACUAACUGAACAUGCAUUUGAGGAUCAUGAAAUGACCAAGAUGGAAAUGACUUUGAUGAAUUGUCCAAUUUGUUCUGGAAAUAUAUCAAUAUAGACAUAUAAUAAAUUCUCAACUAAUCAGAGAGAGCCGUUCACAAAUAAUCCAAAGUCAGAGUGGAAAUAAGCUAUGCAUCAUCUUCCAGUGCUUCCCAGCUGACUUCCCACCAGCCUGUAAGCAGCCCAUUCUCAAGGCGUGGCUCUUAUUUUUUGAAACCACCACAGCAGCUCUGGUUCUCUGCAGGAGAGGGAAAGGUGUCUUAGUGAGUAUCCAUGGCAACAAGUGAUAAGUGAACACCGCCUAACUCCUGAGCCUCGCUUCCUGGUUACCAUGAGGAAUCUGAUUACUCUCUUGCAUGGUCAUGAGAUGUGCCUGUAUCCUAGUCUCCAAGAUCUUCCAGGAAGUAGAUUUGCACAUCCUUUCUUCGCAAUCAGUUCUAGAGGUAGUCAAGCAAAUCAUUUGUGUUAGUACAUAUUAUUAAUUUAUUAAUUUUCCUAUGAAUUAAAAAAAAUUUUCCUGAGAAGUCAUUGAUUUCCAAAAUGGAGGGUGUUCAGCAAUCAUUUUUCUACAUCAGUAAUGGAACCCCUCCCAAAGCAAAAGGAAAAAGUUUAGAAUUAUAGAAAGGUCUAAUAGAUCAUCAAAUUCAAGUUUUUUGAGUUUUUUUCAUUUACAGGUAAGAAAGCUCGUUGCCUUCAAUAUCAACCUUCCCAUCUGUUAAAUGGAGGGCUUUAAAUGAUUUGGCCUCAAUUGCGCAGUUAGUUACUGGGUGUAAAAAUAGCUAAAAUUUCUGUCUAAGGCACCUUGCGCUGCAUUAGAACUAAUCAGUGAUUUUCUUCUAAAACCAUUUUUACCCCAGAAAUCAAUGCUACUCUACAUUACAAUUCCAGGAUACAGCUUUUAAAACGCUUGGCUGAAGUGAAGGAAGGAAAGUUGCUGGCAUUGUGGCUAUUCUAUUGUGGUUUAUAGGCAAUCCAAACACCAGUUGUGUGUUGUUACAGUUCAAUUCUCGAAGAUUGUUAUGGGAUCCCACGUUAUGCUAUGCUUAAAAUAAAAACAAAUAAAAACACAGAGACCUUGUUUUCUAAGGCUAUGGGAUGACAUGCAGUUUUGUGCCACUUCAUCAGAACUUGGUCUUUCGACCAGAGUGUUUAUUACAAAGUGCAGUAAAGCAAAACAGAACCACAAGACAAACGUUAAAGCUCUCACUCCCUUUCUGAACUAUCUGCGGAGAGGAUUUUCCUUCAGAAAUAACAUGUCUGCCUCAGUGCUCACUGUGCCCAACAGCUUCAUCUCACUGAAAGAAUUUCCCAC